GGUGACGUAGCCAAGUUGGUUAAGGCCGCGGUCUGCAAAACCGCUAUCAUGGGUCCGAAUCCCAUCGUCACCU
rnacentral:tRNA from 1 species